rnacentral:rRNA from 1 species
GACGAACGCUGGCGGCGUGCUUAACACAUGCAAGUCGAACGGAAAGGCCCUGCUUUUGUGGGGUGCUCGAGUGGCGAACGGGUGAGUAACACGUGUGUAACCUGCCCUUGACUUUGGGAUAACUUCAGGAAACUGGGGCUAAUACCGGAUAGGAGCUCCUGCUGCAUGGUGGGGGUUGGAAAGUUUCGGCGGUUGGGGAUGGACUCGCGGCUUAUCAGCUUGUUGGUGGGGUAGUGGCUUACCAAGGCUUUGACGGGUAGCCGGCCUGAGAGGGUGACCGGCCACAUUGGGACUGAGGUACGGCCCAGACGCCUACGGGAGGCAGCAGUGGGGAGUAUUGCACAAUGGGCGGAAGCCUGAUGCAGCGACGCCGCGUGCGGGAUGACGGCCUUCGGGUUGUGAACCGCUUUCGCCUGUGACGAAGCGUGAGUGACGGUAAUGGAUAAAGAAGCACCGGCUAACUACGUG